UGGGGAAUAUUGGACAAUGGGGGAAACCCUGAUCCAGCAAUGCCGCGUGAGUGAAGAAGGCCUUAGGGUUGUAAAGCUCUUUCGGCGGGGACGAUGAUGACGGUACCCGCAGAAGAAGCCCCGGCUAACUUCGUGCCAGCAGCCGCGGUAAUACGAAGGGGGCUAGCGUUGUUCGGAAUCACUGGGCGUAAAGGGCGCGUAGGCGGCUCGACAAGUCAGGCGUGAAAGCCCCGGGCUCAACCCGGGAAAUGCGCUUGAUACUGUCUUGCUUGAGUCCGGGAGAGGAUGGCGGAAUUCCCAGUGUAGAGGUGAAAUUCGUAGAUAUUGGGAAGAACACCGGUGGCGAAGGCGGCCAUCUGGACCGGUACUGACGCUGAGGCGCGAAAGCGUGGGGAGCAAACAGG
rnacentral:rRNA from 1 species